rnacentral:rRNA from 1 species
AGAGCGAACGCUGGCGGCAGGCCUAAUACAUGCAAGUCGAACGGAUCCUUCGGGAUUAGUGGCGGACGGGUGAGUAACACGUGGGAACGUGCCCUUUGGUUCGGAACAACUCAGGGAAACUUGAGCUAAUACCGGAUGUGCCCUUCGGGGGAAAGAUUUAUCGCCAUUGGAGCGGCCCGCGUCUGAUUAGCUAGUUGGUGGGGUAAAGGCCUACCAAGGCUACGAUCAGUAGCUGGUCUGAGAGGAUGAUCAGCCACACUGGGACUGAGACACGGCCCAGACUCCUACGGGAGGCAGCAGUAGGGAAUCUUGCGCAAUGGGCGAAAGCCUGACGCAGCCAUGCCGCGUGAAUGAUGAAGGUCUUAGGAUUGUAAAAUUCUUUCAGUGGGGACGAUAAUGACGGUACCCACAGAAGAACGCCCCGGCUAACUUCGCGCCAGCAGCCGC